AUCUCUUGGUUCCAGCAUCGAUGAACAACGCAACGAAAUGCGAUAAGUAAUGUGAAUUGCAGAAUUCAUUGAAUCAUCGAAUCUUUGAACGCACAUUGCGCCCCUCGGUAUUCCGGGGGGCAUGCCUGUUCGAGCGUCAUU
rnacentral:rRNA from 1 species